GGGCCCGCACAAGCGGUGGAGUAUGUGGUUUAAUUCGAUGCAACGCGAAGAACCUUACCAGGGUUUGACAUCCUGCGAAUCUCUUGGAAACAGGAGAGUGCCUUCGGGAACGCAGUGACAGGUGGUGCAUGGCUGUCGUCAGCUCGUGUCGUGAGAUGUUGGGUUAAGUCCCGCAACGAGCGCAACCCACGUCUUUAGUUGCCAGCAUUUAGUUGGGCACUCUAGAGAGACUGCCGGUGAUAAACCGGAGGAAGGUGUGGAUGACGUCAAGUCAUCAUGCCCCUUACAUCCUGGGCUACACACGUACUACAAUGCUACGGACAAAGGGCAGCAAGUUCGCGAGGACAAGCAAAUCCCAUAAAGUUGUUCGUAGUCCGGAUCGGAGUCUGCAACUCGACUCCGUGAAGUUGGAAUCGCUAGUAAUCGU
rnacentral:rRNA from 1 species